UAGAGCAAUCUAGUAUAUGGGCGAUGGUAGCAGAAUAGAGAGAAUAACUAUGGUUUCUCUACUUCAAAGGGGUAUGUCUAUGUCUGGGACGAACCACGUGAUAAGAAUACACCACAAAGGAUACUUAUCCAUAGGCCGAUAAACCCUACCCGUCCUGCUAGCAGGAGGUGGACUACAGAGGACCAACAUAACUGUCACCUACGCGGCCUACCAUACGAUCUAGCUAGACAGGGGAUAUCCACAAGUAAUCUAGAUCUAAGCACCACGCUUACAGCUAAACUACAACUCUCACCUAUAGCGUCCUAUAGAAUAGAAGUACUCAAAAGAGUUGUGAACCACAACAUACAUGAUUAGUAAUUGCAUAAUGAAUUAGAAGUAGAUUACCAGAGUCAUCCCAUGAGCAAGCUUGAUUAGAGCUUGAUCAUGGCGAAGUAGAACCGGAGGAAGAACCGACAGGCCGGCCUCUCCUCCAAUCCUCCCUCGCUCUCCAUCUCGCUACUAUCUAGAUCUACUCUAGUUUAGAGAAGAGAGAAGAGCUCUCAUCUCCAAACCCUAGCUUUUGCUCUGUCUAUGAAUAAUGAAUAGGGAUCAAGGGUUGCCUCCUCCAGGGGCCAGGGGAUCUGCUUAUAUAGUCCCUUAAGUGAAUCUGGGCCGUCAGAUCAAACUGACAUUGAUUGAACGGUUAUCCUUGAUCCUUUAGGUCGGUGGAGCAUAAUCCGCGAGGUUGAACGUGAUUGGCCACUGUAGCAGGGCGGGCGCCCAAGGGGGGGAGGGCGGGCGCCCUGCCCCCGAGCCCACUCGUCCUCCCGUUCGUUCCCGUGGCUUCUGGAGUCUUCUAGAUGAUAGAAAAUUGCGCGGCACGUUAAUAUCUCUAUGUAAACCCGACGUGUGGGCCUUUCCUCCACAUUUCUUGAUAACCCCCUGCAGAAAUAGACAAACACCAAAACUCAUGGAAUUGGGUGAGAUAAAACCCUAAGUCUGGGUGUUGGUUGCAUUUGGAUCCUUUUCUUUAUUUAUUUGAUGAUUAAAUUUGAUACUUAAGGACCGUCAACAACUCCCCCAAGCUUACCUCUUGCUCGUCCCUGAGCAAGGAUGGACUCAAGAGUUUCUAAAGUGGUUUUAUGCCUUAAAGGUACACAUGUGUUUAAACAAGAUCUCAUCUCUAGGUUAGGGUAAACUAUUAAGAUUUAAACUUACUCAUAUUACCUUCCACCAUGGGGCUUGCAACCGUCACUUGUGUCUUGAGCAGUUAAAAGAUAGAACGGUCAAGUCAAGCACCAUGUCUCUUGUUCUUUGAUCAACUAUAGCUCUGGACUUUUUACAGAUUUUCAAAUAAAACUCAGAGAUUCCUUGUAUGACACUCUCUAGUCUCUCUUUUGUGCUAUUUCUGGAUCCUUACCAAGGCAAUGAUGAUAUAUGCCUUCUCUCAAAAUAUGUGGUAUUUGUGGUAUGAGGCAUAAUGAUAUUGCCUUCUCUCUCACCCUACUCUAACAAGGUUUUGAUAUCUGGAGCUCAUAGGUGGGAGACAGCUAAUACAUACUUACAAGACAUUUAUUGCAUAGUCAAACCAUGGAUCCAGAGAAACAAGUUAAUAAGUCAAAUCAAGAUGUGCAUGUGUGGCGAAUGAAUGGUGUAUGGUGAUGAUGGUGAUAAUGGUGAAAAUAAUGGUGAAAGUCUAAUUCUACUUUUGCUCUUUUGAGGGGAUACAUACCUUUCUUGCACUUUGAAGCUUUUUGAAGGGAAUGAGAUGCUCUAUAUUUUCUUUUUUUUUUCUUUUCUCUCAGGUGGAUAUCUUGUACCCCUAAUUCUACUAUCGGACACUUGUCCAUUUUUACCUCUCGUCUCACUUUUUCUUUUCUUUCGAGGUUCCGGGCACUUGCCCCUUUUUAUUUCCUCGUAUUCACUUUUUUUUCUUUUCUUUUUUUUCUUUUCUUUUUUUAGAGCACUCACCCUCCUGAAAUAAUGUAGCAAGUGGUAGUAGCCAAAAUAUCUCUAUUAUUUAUUUCAUGGGGAAUAACAGGGAUAGGAUAAUUGUUUUUGGCUAUUCUCUUAUUGAUAGGAGUAGAAUAAUUUUGGGUGAAUUUGGAGAUAGAAAUGAGUGGAUGUAUGUGGAUGCGUACUUCUAGGGUAUAAGCAGCAUGUAUGAGUGAACGUGCAAGUGAAUCUUGAUUUUAACCACAUGACAAGCUCCUAAGGGUCUACACAGCUUGACCACACUCAAUGCUCAUAAGCAGUAAAAAGUAAAUGUAUGGUUCAUAGUCUAGUAAGCAUGUAUAUACGGCUGUGGUGGGAUUUUAAACUCUCAUCAUACAGGAACUCAUCAUGCAACAUUUUAAAGAUUUUCAAAGAUAAAAAUCUCCAGAAUUCUAGCAUCUCUAGGAACAGAUAAACAACAGCUCAACCUUCCCAUAUCAUAUCCGUUAACGACUUAGACUUUAGAUCAAGUACUCUUCCCACAAGUUCAGGUUUAGAGCAAAUUUUAAUUCAUAACAGUCAUGCCUAAACAUGAGAGAGAUUUCAAUUUUGAGAACUAGGCAGAGCAACUAUUCAUUAUUUCCAUGUGAGAGCUUAUCAUAAGGGUUCAUAGCAAACUUUAUUUGUUUAUUUAUUUAGCAAACUAAGAAAAGAUAUAUAUAUAUAUAAGCAUAAAAUCUUUAUUUGGGGUUUUAUGAUUAUGCAUCUUUCUAUUAUUUGAGUAAAGUAUAAACAUGAGUAGAAACACUUAGCUGGAUAAAUGGGGGUGCUCUCCCCCAAGCUGGAUUUUGACGUAAUUUCUUCUCAUGUAGCUAGCAGGUGGCGGAGGUGUAUUUGAAUGUCGGCAGCACCCUGACAGCGAUUAGAAUGUCCUGCGUUUGCUAGUCUUCUUUGAUCCUUGAAUUCUGUGGAGCUCAAAUAGACAACAAAGCUUUGUGGAACUGGUUAAGUGUUGGCAUAAAAUCUCUUUGCCUUUAUCAUGUUGAGCUUCCUCUAAUAAAUUUUAUUUAUUUAGUAGGAUCAUGCACUUAUUAUUUUUAUAUUUUUAUUGUAAGAUGAAAACAUAUUUAUUUUAUGCCACCACAGUCAAUAUACCUAUGGGUUUUAAACCACAAGUAUACUCACAUGGGGCUUACUAUUUCUAACCUUUUUAUUUUCUUUUCAAGAUAGUAUGAUUAACUAACAAGCCAUUUAUGGAAAGUAAAUAAUUUAAGGAAAAAGGGAAUGCAGAAAGGAUAAAUAUGGAUAACUACCGAUUUUACCUUUCGGCGAGGGUUCAAUGUUUUAAGACUUCUGAACAAGACUUCUCACCGUGUUCAUUCUUUAGGUGCGUCAUUUGAUUCUGGUGUGUACCUUGACGUCUGCACCGCUUGAUACAGUGUAACCCAUUUUCUUCAUUUGCCCAGCAGUUCGAACUGCGGCGUUGGCAGUAUCCUGCUCAGUGUGUUUGUGCUCGUAGAUCCAGGUCCAUCACAUGGUAGAGUCUGAGAGUUAUAAAACUCCUCCAUAUUUUGCUCGAAGUGUACCUGCUCAUAGAGACAAGGCAGAGAUCAAGUGCAUGGGUCCUGUUGGUGGAAAACACCAACAGAACUAAAAGUGUAUUUGUUCUUCUCUAACCUUAAGCAUAGCGAGCAAGACAAAGUUGAUGAAUGAUAAGUUCAUGAGUCUAGCACUUAUAACAUUUGUCAGAUCAGAUCGCUCAACCUUAUGGAAAGAUAAUCUAUCUAUGUAUAUGUCUUUUUCUUUAUAUCUCUCAAAGAUUGAAGGUGUAACAUUUUAGCUCAUAUGAUUAGGAGUGUGGGAUCAUGGAGGUAGUACUAGGAACAAAGAUUAAAGGACUAAACAUGCUGAAUCAAUUGGGUUGGUUAAUUUAGAGUUGUAAAUCAUACAUGUUUGUCUCUUUUAUUUAUAUGAACACCAGAACCAAGGAGAAGCUUAUAAAAGUGAUAGUCAAGUACCUUAAAAUGUUACCUUACUUGAAGAGUGAUGGUACCAUCUUACCUUGUGGAAGCUUCCCAUUCGUAGUGGUUGUGUAUCGUGUUUAGGGCACCCUCCAUGGAUCAUCUCUUAGGAGCUACGACUUCCUUGUGUAAAUUGUUAAACUUCAUGUGUCCCUCUCCUUGUCCCCAAUGUGAGUUUAUCUCAGGACUUCCCAGGUUGAUAUUGAAAGUUUUCUUGUAGGGGUUAGUCCGACAAAAUAUACCAAUAUCUACUCAAGCAGUUUUUAGUUCAAUAACCAAACUAGACUCCAUGUCUAAUCAGAUUAAGGAAGGCUAUUUAACCUACGCACCAUGCUUAAUUUAAAUGCCAAUGGAAGUAUGGUGAGUACUUCCAAACCAACACUUGCUAGUAAAUAAACAAAGGUAGCAUGACAACAUUUAUAGAGAUCUACUCAAAUGGAGAUGAAGUAGUGUGAUUGGUAUUUAACAAAUUGAGCAUGUUUCAAAGGUAGGGACAACCAGCAUAGCAACAUGGCAAAGGAUGUUUUUAUGUAAACUACUCCCCCAAGCUUGAAUUUUGCAAAAUUCAAGUUUGGAUGAAUCUAAUUCAAUGUUGUAUGAUGAUUGGUUGGACAUACCUUGUGCUUGUCAUUCAUCCGAUCUUCUUGCUCCAAUCCUGGAAAGGUUAGUGACAAGAAUACCUGAAGGAAUAUUUUUAGGAUUAUCCUUAUAUGCUCAAUACACCAGGUAAUGUUGUAAAUAAUUAAAAGCUCAUGUUACGAUUUGAUCAGUGCUUAUUUUAAGACACUAAGCUUGUCCUUGGGAAACCAUCAACUUAUGUCGACGAAGUGGUUUCCCUUCCAACGCUGACCUAUAUCAAGAUCAAUUCAACGAGAUCUGCAAUAUUUAUAAUAGACAUAUGCAUCGACAACCGCCCUUUUAAAGUUUUUAUAAAUAGAAAGGAAUAGGGGGUUGGAGAUAUCAAAUGCAUUUGGUGAUGUUGGAGAGACCAAUAGAUUGGGAAGAUGUUGCAUAUGAGCAUGGAGUAAACGAAGUGGCUAUGAAAUAAAUUCCAUGCUCAUUAAUGUUAUCUUCGUCUCCAAUCUGAAUGUUCGGAGUUUCUCCUGGAUUGGUCUCACCUAUGUCCUCCUCUGUAGUUGGAUGAAUCUCAUCUUCGAAGGGAGUCAAGAACUCACCAUUUGAAAUUGAGCCAAAGUCAGAAUCCAUUAAGGCUUCUUCCUUAUCCAUCCAUUCUACACAUUCUAGCCAUUUGGCACUUGUGAUCAGGAAAGGGGAGCUGAUAGAAUCUUCUAUAUAGCUUAGCUCUCCAUCUAUGGCAUUACUUGACAUGCCAUCCUCAUGGUCUUUAUGACUCCUAUGGUUUGAUCGUCUUGAUGGAUUGUUAGGAUCAUCAUGAGACUUAAAAUGAGAGGGAUAAGAGGGGUCUCUAAGGUCAAGGAUGGAUUUAGAACUUGUGAACAUGGAAGGGGAGCAGAUAGAAUUUUCUAUAUGGCUUAGCUCUCCUUCACUUGAUAUGUCAUCCUCGACUUCUUCAUAAAAGGAACCAGGACAUUCUCUAAGAGAAACAUUAUUGCAAGGAUUUUAAUUAUCCCUACUUGAAGGUCUCUUAUGGAACCAGAAGUCUAAACCAUCAGUAUCUGAGAGAUUUAAGGUCGGAAUUCCUUCCUCCCUUGGAGAAUUUUGUGGUAUUGGUGGUUUAGGAUCGAUAGCUAAAGUUUGGGAUUGAAGUGGUUGUGGUCUGGCUAUCGAAACUUCUUCUUCUUGUCUAGGAACCGGUUCUUUCUCUUUCUCAGGGAUAUAAAUGCUAGGAAACUUUCCACUCAAUGAAUCAAUUAAAUCCCUAGCUUCACUAGCAGGUAGGUGAUAGAAGGAUCCUCUAGAGGCUGUAUUCAAGGUUUGCUUAUUUUCCCUACUAAGGCUCUCAAAAAAGUGAAUUAGAAGAACUUCUUCUGGAAUAGAAAGCUUUGGGCCAGUGAGAGUAAGGUUAAUAAAGCGGUCCCAUGAUUUGCUAAGAGAUUCUUCUUCCAGUUGUCUAAAAGAAAUAAUCUCACGCCGAAGUUCCGCCACUUUGUAGAUUGGAAAAUAUUUAUAAAGAAAACUAUUAUAUAACUCCUUCCAAUCUCCAUGAACACUCCCUACUUUGAGUUUGUACCAAUGUCUAGCUUUUCCUGUUAAAGAGAACGGAAAGAGCUUCCAUCCUUCUAUGCGAAGGAGGUCACAGACUCUAUAAAACUCUCUUAGGUGUGUGUACGAGUUUUCCUCACCUUCUCCUGAGAAAGGUUGUUUUGAACAAAUUCUAUGUAUUCGGGGUCUAUCUCAAAACUAGAUGCUAUGAUAGGCUUUGAAGAUUUUGGUGGUUCGAGAUGUGUGCCUGUAGGUCUAUAAAAUUUAUAGAUAGACAUGUUUGAAUUCAUGAUAGACUAGAGAUCAAGGAUUAGAUAAGAAGAAAGAAUAGCAGAGAGGAGGCAAAGGAUAAAAGAAUUUUUUUUACUUUUUUAGAAAAUGAUUAAGCUAGUAAAUAGUUAACUCAGCUACCGUUUCCCCGGCAACGGCGCAAAAAAUGCUUGUUGACACUUGCUAACACCACUUGAAUACUAGGUUGUCAUCCCCAGCAUGGCACUAGAGUGUACUAUGGUAUUUAUACGCACAUAGAUAAUCCACAAGCGCACGGAUACCAUUAUAGCUUUUUCCCGGUUAAAGGUUUUAUCGUAUCCAUAGGGAAACGGGAGAACCAACUACGCUCUAACUUAACCAAGAUAGAUAGAUAAGUGUAAAUAGGAAAGAUGGUAGAAUUGAAUAAGAGCAAUAUUAAAGGUAAGAUAACAAUGGGUGAUAAUAUGGGAAUAGAGAGUAGAGCAAUCUAGUAUAUGGGCGAUGGUAGCAGAAUAGAGAGAAUAACUAUGGUUUCACUACUUCAAAGGGGUAUAUCUAUGUCUGGGACAAACCACAUGAUAAGAAUACACCACAAAGGAUGCUUAUCCAUAGGCCGAUAAACCCUACCCAUCCUGCUAACAGGAGGUGGACUACAGAGGACCAACGUAAUUGUCACCUACGCGGCCUACCACACGAUCCAGCUAGACCGGGGAUAUCCACAAGUAAUCUAGAUCUAAGCACCACGCUUACACCUAUACUAUAACUCUCACCUAUAGCGUCCUAUAGAUUAGAAGUACUCAAAAGAGUUGUGAACCAGAACAUACAUGAUUAGUAAUUGCAUAAUGAAUUAGAAGUAGAUUACCGGAGUCAUCCCAUGAGCAAGCUUGAUUAGAGCUUGAUCAUGGCGAAGUACAGCCGGAGGAAGAACCGACAGGCCGGCCUCUCCUCCAAUCCUCCCUCGCUCUCCAUCUCGCUACUAUCUAUAUCUACUCUAGUUUAGAGAAGAGAGAAGACCUCUCAUCUCCAAACCCUAGCUUUUGCUCUGUCUAUGAAUAAUGAAUAGGGAUCAAGGGUUGCCUCCUCCAGGGGCCAGGGGGUCUGCUUAUAUAGUCCCCUCAAGUGAAUCUAGGCCGUCGGAUCAAACCGACAUUGGCUGAAUGGUUAUCCUUGAUCCUUUAGGUCGGUGGAGCAUAAUCCGCGAGGUUGAACGUGAUUGGCCACUGUAGCAGGGCGGGCACCCAAGGGGGGAGAGCGGGCGGCCUGCCCCCGAGCCCGCUCGGCCUCCCGUUCGUUCCCAUGGCUUUUGGAGUCUUCUAGAUGAUAGAAAAUUGCGCGGCACGUUAAUAUCUCUAUGUACCCCCGACAUGUGGUCCUUUCCUCCAUAUUUCCUGAUAACCCCCUGCAGAAAUAGACAAACACCAAAACUUGUGGAAUUCUGUCAGAUAAAACCCUAAGUCUGGGUGUUGGUUGCAUUUGGAUCCUUUUCUUUAUUUAUUUGAUGAUUAAAUUUGAUACUUAAGGACCGUCAACACUUAGCUUGCUUAGUACGGUAGAAGUCGGGUGAUUUCCUGUCACCUGCGAGAUAUAGGUGGACAUCUGAAUUAUAAGCGGUCAAUGCUGUUGUGAGAAGUAACCAAGUGUGGGAAUGAACUUGAGACCGGGCAGGGUCUUAUGGUGGAUUUGCCCGUAGUGCCCCUGCCUGUGUCGAUUAAGGACCGAUCGUUGACGGCCCUCUUGUCAUGUUGAACGCAUGCCCCACACUUAGCUGGAACGAUAAGUCAUUCCGACCGUGAAGCCUGAGCACUAUCCGGGCCGGGAAUCGGCCCGAUGUACGCGCUGUAUUGGUGAUGGUUGAGGAGAACGAUGAGGGCGUGACGCGCAACCUUGGUAUACCUUGGAUACCUCGGUCGCCGGAACGGUCCUCGGGUACAGGCGGUGCCUGUCGAACCCGCGAAUUGGUCCUAGAUAGUGCAAUACAGUGAUCUGUAGCUAACUUGAUCAGUGAGUGUGGUUUGUGUGGGGAAUAAACUCGCCAGCUGGUCAGAAAUCGAUUCGAAUCACCAUCGCUCCUGGAUAGUGAGCACUCGACAUGAGCCCUGUCCUUGUAGUAAGGACUAUGAAACACUUGGGGUAUGAUAAGGAAUGUUUUAUGAAUGCUAUGAUGAGGUACCAUCAUAUCACAACACUUGUUUGCAAUAGUACAGGUGCAAAUCUAGAUGAUAGGUAAUAACACCUGACCUGAGCAAAUUAAAGAAGAAGGGUAAGGCUAUACUUCUAGUUAAUUAAUGCUUUUGCGCAAAAGGUCUCAACUACCCCACCAUACAGCUUUCAUGAUCCUUGAAGAGUCUUUAUUUUUGGUUUAUGACGGGUAAGUCUAGCUGAGUACAUUCUCAUACUCAGGGUUCCAUUCCCAUGUUGUUUUGCAGAUGGGCAGAUGUACUAUGGUUAUUGCAUUCACUGCUUGUACCCAGCGAUGGGUGAUGACUAGACCAAGGGCGACGAUCACUCUACCUUCUCUUUGCUUUUGUGGGAAUGAUCAACAAUGGCACUGUAUCAGACUGAAUGUCUUAGUGUUAUUUUAAAACUAUGAAGCUUCCGCUACUUGUGAACUUGGUUUGUAAUAACUAAAUUUGAACUCCUAUGUAUGCGAUGUAUGUUGUGAACUGGAUGUAACUGUGAAUGGUGACCGCUGAACUUAUUACGAUCUUGGCUGUAUGUAUGAGUUGUGGUUUGAAAUCCUUCGAGAUUUCACAGACUACCGAGAUUAUAUGGGCUUAAGCUUGAUGGUUUGAGUGUGCAAACGGUCAUUAUUAGGCUUAAUCUCUUAUAAUUUGGACGGCUCUGUUACAGCUGGUAUCGGAGCAAGGUUUAGCGAGUUACUGAUCAUAAGUACGUUCUAAACUAAACUUAAACUGGUUAAUAAAAGUUAACUAUGCUAUUAAUGAUGAUCAAGGUGUUAAAAUGAGUUUUUGGAAAACUACACGGUGUGCCAUGGUCAUAUCCAUUAUGUCCAGUUAAGGACUCUAAGGUGGCUAGUUAAGUACUAACUUGGAGGUUAUGCAUCAUAUUUCUAUUUUCAUCGCUCAUACGGCGUGCAAUAGUAUGAGUGCCAUUCAUUUGAGUGGUAAUGUAUGGAUCAAUUCUCCUCUACGCCUCGGUAAGUGGGAGCUGUGAGAGCAUGAUCGGAUACAAUGCCGAUCUAGGGAAGUGAUAUUAGGUUCUGUGUCAUGCACGCAUGUUUGUUGUGUCUGAGAACAGUGCUAUAUGUUGGGAGAUUCCGUCCUGAGAGGCGAUGUCGUUACUAGGGCGAUGAUGUGGGUAGUAACACACCAUAUGCAUGGAUGUGGUGUCCAUGUGUGUGGGAUGUAUAGCUUUAAAUUCUUGUUCCACAUGUUCAUACUGUGGUUGGGCUGAAAUGAGUUUUCUGCAGGUACGCUAACCCCGUUCUCGCCUAGAACGCUAGUUACGUUAUGAGAGAACGUUGUGUGCCACCGCAUAUACCGAUUAGUAUUAAUUUCCUUUUCUAAGUUUGUGAGAUCGUAAGUCCGUGCAUGCAUCAUGUUCAUUCCAUAUCAUUGCUUACUUCCUCCCCUUAUUUAAAUUUGUCCCAAUUUCAAUUAAGAUAAUAAAAGAUAAUCCUCCGUCUUACCCAAGGUAUCCUAUUUUAAGCAGAUGGCACGCACUAGGCUCACCGCCCGCAAGUCCACUGGUGGGUAGGCCCGUCGCCAUCAGUUGGCAGCUAGGAGCUCGCGUCAUAAGAGGAAGUUCCUAAAGGAGUUUGGGAUGCCUACCCUACUUUGGAGAGUGCUCACUUCGAUGGGGUAUCCUGAAGGAAGGGAACCUCGCUACUACUGGAACAAGGAACAGCUUGGUGACGGGACCCUGGUGGGGAUUGAGGCAGUGGUCCCUACCAAUGGAGAUGACCCCGCUUGGGGUGGCUGGGUAUACGAGUCCCGAGGUACCACGCCUUUCCAGGGUACUAGUAGGGCUGCUUUUGUGGUUCUGAGGGACAUCAUGGAGAGGUUUCCACAGGAGCUGGCCCACGCCUUCGCUGGGUUGUUUCCCCGGGAUGACCCCAACACUUCGGUGUGGGAUCAAUCCGAGGUGAAUGGUCUAGAGAGGAGUGCGGAUGAGGAUCAACACAGUGAUAGUGUGGCUAUGAGUGCUAUGUUCGCCAUGAUAAAGACCUAUGGGGGUCUAGAGCACUGUUUGGGGCGCUUGUCUGGGUCUCUUCUGACCGUUCAGGAUGAGAAGCGCCAGCUACAGUGUGAGUUUGACACUGAGGUUGAGAGGCUGCAGGCAGAGCUAGCCCGUGUGAGAGGGACCAGGCAGUCCAGAAGAACAGUGACCUGAGUCAGGAUCUACUCGCAGUGAGAGACCAGAGGUACAGGGUGACCACCGCUCACAGGAACUACGAGCGCAUGCUAGUUCAUGUGCUUAGUCAGAGGAAUGAAGCCUGGCACGAGGAGGACACCUUGAGGGCCCGACUGCUAGAGCUUGAGCAGCAGCUAGUUAAUGCUGAGUAGUACAAUGAGAACCUGCAUGAGGAGAUCCAUCAGCUGCAUAACUAGCUCCACCCUCACCACCUGCCUGGAGCAGUUGAGUUAGAUUCCGAGGAUGAGAUGGAUGAGGAUCCAGAGAUGGAGGCAGCCGCUAGUGGAGAUAAGGACGAGGAAGGCUCCGGCAUGGACAGUGACCAUAGCGAGUAGAUGCUAGGGCUCUAGAGCUAGUCUUUCUUCUUUUGCUGAUGUCGAUGCAUGACAUGUGUUGUAAUCAAUCGGGUCUUGGACGUGUAAGACUUUAUGUGUUGACGGUGAAAGUCCAGUGUAUGUAUGCUGGCAAUUUUGUAUGUAUGCGAACCCUGUUGUGUAAAUGUUAAGUAAUCCGUUAGUGAUGUUGUGUGUGGAUGAUGAAUUGUUGUGCCUCUGUUUAUUGUGUGAAUUUAUUUUCCUCAGUAAAUUCAGUACGGCAUGGUUCUACAUAUGUCUACCAAUUGAUAGCAACUCCUAACGACUGCUUAUCAUUGACGCAUGCAGAUGGUGCAAACGCGUGGCGGGGGUAACAGCAACCCUGGUCUUGGAGAAGGUAUCUUCGGAGGUGGGGCUCGCAGGAAUGAGGAAAGAGCGCCAUCACCGCCACCACCACCUCCUCCGUACACUGCGGACGUGUUUUUCGCGCAGUUUCUAUGGAGCCAAUGCAACAUCAUCCAAACACCCGCACCUCUAUUUGCCACAUGUUUGGCAGCCGCCACAUACGCAAGUUCAUUUUUUCCUCUGCUUCUCUGCCAUAUAGUCUGGCCAAGAAUUUGCUGCCAAACUCGGGAUGCCCCUGCCGUUGUGGCAUGUGCGGUUACCGCAGCAACCAAACAAGCCCUAAAGAAUAAAUAAUUCAAGAAACCAAUAAAUGAGGUAGGCAUGAAGGCUAAUAAUGUUUGUUCAGCUUUGACUGCUGACUUCGGGUGAUUGUGCUCGUGGAGUGACUCAUUGAGCUAGGCCAACGUUGCUGUUCGCUUGUCCAUAUGGAUGGGUAGACUGAACAUACAGCACUAUGAUGGGCUCUAGGAAUGCAAAACACUGGCCCAAAUAGAAUACUGUUUUGCUAAGCCCAAUACAUUUCAUCUUGUUCCAUGUGAAGGGGCAGGUGUCUGACAAAUUUCAGGGGCUAUACACGCCGGAGCCAAGGUAUGUCGAGGGCAUACUUUCAACACUUAGUCCUUCGCCCCACAUGGUAGACGUUGGCAUUCGAGGCAUGUUAGUUGUAGAAAUAGAGAAGAGAAGAGAUAUAUAUAUAUAUAAACAAGAUAUAUAUAUAUAUAGAGAUAUGCCAUAGAUGGGGAAGUGAGUCAUGGGCCCAGAGGAAUAGAAGAGGCACAACAAUGGAGAAGUAAACUGACAAACUUUGGGACCAAUCGGAAAAGUUUUCUGCAUUUAAUAUUAUGUAGGAUAGAUAUAAAUAUAGAGAUUAUGUAUAGAUAUAGAUUAAAUUGAACUACACUUCUAUAAUUUUGAACAGAUAUUGUAGCUCCAAUAUAGUCUGCUCCUGCUAGGCUUCAAAUUCCUUCCGUGUGUGGUGGGUCAACUAGAAGAGUGGUGGGAGCGAGUGGCGGACAAAUGAAGAAGACAUAUUUAUAUAAUUUAAUAAUUAUUAGUGAUAUAUAAAAAUGUCUAGUGACAUGCUAGAUAUAUUAUAGAUAUUGAGAUACAUAUUAAAAUAAAUUUUCAUAUAAUAACUAGGUAGCGUGCCCGUGUGUUGCUACGGGAUAGCUAACAUUUUUUUAUUAAAAAUACAUGUAUCGCACAAUAAGAUAAUAAUAUUAUAAUAAAACUUAAAUACCAGCUAUAAAGUUACAUUUAACUUAAAGAAAUAUAGUUUCUGAAAUCGAACAUAGUCACGGAGAGCACCACAUUAUAGCCUCACAAAUUCUACUUUAUAGACCUUUCAAACCAUCUUGGGCGUUCAACAAAUUAAUAUAAGCAUCUAUGAUAUGCAUACAUUAAGGCAUUAAAGAGAAAGGACAUUGAAGUUGCCAAUGUUUGAUUUAGAAUUAUGACUCUCAUUUGUUACCUCGUCAGACAAGUAUUCAUGUGGUUGAAAAAGACAUUCCAUGUGAUUUCUGGACACUGGAAUAUCAUCUGUGAGCACAAGCUCCUCCUUCCCAGGUUUUGGUGGAAUUUUUCUGACAGAUUCAAUUAUUUCUCUAUCGGUUUCCGUAAAAACAUAAUCUUAAAAAGAGAACAUAUUUAUAUAGGAUUAAAGUAUAUAACGACAGAUAAUUUCUCUAUGUUAAUCCAUCGAAAAGAAAAUAACAAUACCUUCUGGACCAACCAGUGAGGACAUAGACUUUUUGGGUUUAUUUUGUAAUAUUUUGUUUUCCGAAAGUUUAUUUUCUCCCAUUGAAUCUACAAGAGAAGUUGGUAGGGUUUGUUGUUCAUGGGCCAUAUCAAUGCUUAAACCCUGGUCAUCUGGUAGAACUUCGUGCGAAACUUCUAUACCCAUGCUUUGUUGUAACCACUCAGAAUCAUCCGUAGACUUAAUGGAUUUUUCUGAUUGCACAAUAUCUUCUGAAACCUUCGGAUCUUGACUACACAUGGCGACCUAAAAGAAAAACAUAAUAUUGUUUAAAAAAUUAAGAUAGAUUAAAUAUGGAAAGAUAAGCUCGUACUUCUUUAGAAUUCAAGAGCUCUGGAAAUAUAAUCAUAGCAAGUUUGUGUUUCACAAUACAUAUUUUAUAAUAUAUUCUACAAUUAAGAAUAUGAUCUCUCAAUAAUACGAUCAUAAAAAUAUGCUUUAUGACCAAGCUAGAAAGACCAAAGAUUUGUGCAUGGUUCCCCACAAGACAAUAACCUUUAUUUUGAAAUUUAAAAAAAUCUAUUUAUGUUGGAAAUGAAAGAUAUUUUUUUACCAUAGAGAUUUUGUAAUUGUUUUUUUCCUUAAUAAUAUCCACUUCUCCUCUCUUUAUCACUAUACACUCUCUCUCUCAAGAAAAGAAACACCGCCCGAUACUCUCUCUCUCCGCAAAAAGCAACGCACGGGAGCUUUCAGCAAAAGAAGCACAGCCUGAUAAUCUCUCUCUCUCAGCAAAAAGCAACGCACGGGAGGAGCCCAAGCGUCUCCUCUUCUUCCUCCUCCGUCUGUUCUUCUUCCUCCUUGGGCGGUGCUCCCGCCCCAGGGACCCGGCGGAGCUGCCUCCACGAGAGGGCUAACGCGGAUCUGCCGACCCGACAUCCCUCCGCCUAGCCUCGGCCAAUCCGCGUUCAAGAACUCCGACACCGCGGCGGGACGCGACUCCAGCGAGCUCUACUCCGGCGCUACCGAACGGUGGGGUGUCCAUGGCCGUCGACAAGUUCCUCUUCCUCUUUCAGCAUCGGCCGGGACCGUCUCUUUGCCGAUCUGGGUCAGUAAGUUUGACUUCCUCAGUUCCUCCCCCAAAUCCCAGCUCUCCCCCAUCCGCCACAGACCUGCCCAGCCCGGAGCUAGUGUUCACCCUCCUCACUGUCUCCUUCGCCUGGUGCGGGCGCGGCGUCGCCAACCUCGUUGCACUCUCCGGGACGCUUAGCCUUGUCUCCGACGCGUGGGAGGCCCACACCGACAAGAUCCUCCCGGUGCGUGCGUGCCGCUUCCGCGCGACCUUGCUCGCAGGCACAGUAUCUGGGGCGCGGUUGUUUGUUAGGGUGCACUGGUCAACAGGAAGAAAGGAUUUGGUGAUCCGUGUGGGCUAUAGCUAGCUUUAGGUCCCGUUAGUCUUCUUGUUACCUUAUUUCGUUAUUCUGGGUACUUCUUUCUGAAUGUUAGAAUGUUACAUUUGUUGGUUCUUAGUUGUCAAGUAACCCUCCUCUAAGCGCUGGGUUGUUGAUUUAGGAGAAGUAUAAACUUCUGGAAAAAACAUGGCAAGUAUAAUAUUAAGCGGGGUUGCUUGGAUUUUGUUUGGUUCGCAACUUCACAUACUUCUCAUAGUGUACACCAGUACAAAAAUCAUUUUUGCUGGCACGUUUUUUUUCACAGGCGGUUCACAAUAUCAUGGCGCUAGUAGAAAAAAUUCAGAGGGCCCAACAAGAAAACCUCCUGUGUAAACUUUACAUUUACACAGGCGGCUUACAAUAAAAACUGCCUGUGUAAAUACCAUUAACACAGGCGGCCGAGUUACGACAACCGCAUGUGUAAAUGUGUCUUUUUACAUAUGCGGUUUUAUAGAGGACCGCCUGUGCUAAUGUAUUUACACAGACGGCCCUCUUUAUGAGCCGCCUGUGCUAAGUCUGCUAUAAAUACCCUUCGUCCACCUCCAGACAAGAACAGUUACUCCCGUGAGCUCUGCACACUGGCGGACCACACGAUUCCAGUUUCCAAGGAGGGAGGUUUUGAUCUUCAUUUCUUUGGUGAGAAACUUCCAAAAGGUUAGUUAGAGCCCUUGAUGCUAUUUUUUUAGUGAUUCUUUGGUUCAGUUCUUGUAUUGCAGGUGCUCAAGAUCUUGAGUUCAUGAAGCAUUCUUGCUUAGGGUUAGGGUUCAUAGAGCAAGAGAGAGAGUUUUAGGUAAAUUUUUAUGUAAAUUCAUAGUAAAUUGUAAAAAUUAAAAAAUAGAAAAUAAAUACUUUUUAGAAUUCUUGUGAGUAGAUCUAUACAAUAGAGUAAUGAUGAGGACAUUUUGAAGUUUAUAAUUUUGAUUCAGUUUUAGCUUUUAUUUUUUCACAUGAAUUAGACUUUAUAAACUCAAACAUUAAAAUGUUGAAAAUCGUAAAGUGGCAAAUAAAUACUUUUCAAAUCUUUGUGCGUAAAAACUUCAUAAAAAUCCUUGAAUUAUUCCUUAAUUUUAUACAAUUGUUUCUUAUAAUUAUGAAAAUGAGUUUAAACAAUUAUUUAAAUUCCAUAAAUUGUAAACUCUGUAAGGGGUAGGUUUUCAUCUCUCUUUAAUAGAAGGAGGUUAGUAUCAUAGUUAAGUCUGUUUUCGGGGGUUAUAUUAGUUUUGUUUUUAGAUUGACCUACAUUAAUUGUUCUUAAGUAAUUACAGCUAAAUAUGGAGAGGUCAUUAUGGAUGUACAACUUAUCAAGAUUGGACCCAUCAUAUGUAGUGGAGGUCCAAAAAUUUAUUGAUGUCGCAAAGAUACAUGCUCGUAGAACAAAGGCGAAGCACAUAUGUUGUCCAUGCGCAGACUGCAAAAAUAUUGUGGUAUUUGACAAUGUAGAAGCAAUUACUUCCCAUCUGGUUUGCAGAGGAUUUAUGGAGGACUACUUGAUUUGGACAAAACUUGGUGAGGGUAGUUCUGCACCUUAUAUGCGGACAACUGACAACACUUUAACUAACAUCAAUGUGGAGGGUCCAAUGCCACCCCUCAAUGAAUUUCAUGCUAUGCCAGAUGUCAAUGAAACUCAUACGUCUGAUGUCAAUGAAACUCAGCAUGCUAACACAGAUGUUGUUGAAGAUGCAGAUUUCUUAGAGGCAAUAAUGAACCGUUGUGCAGAUCCAUCAAUAUUCUUGAUGAAGGGAGUGGAAGCAUUGAAGAAGGCAACAGAGGACACUUUGUACGAUGAGUCGAAAGGUUGUACCAAAGAGUGGUCGACAUUACGUGCUGUUCUUCAGUUUUUGACGAUGAGGGCUAGUCAUAGUUAGUCCGAUGCUAGCUUCAAUGAUUUCUUGCGUGUACUUGGAGACCUUCUUCCUAAGGAGAACAAAGUGCCUACUAACACAUACUAUGCAAUGAAGCUAGUCAGUCCACUUACGAUAGGUGUUGAGAAGAUCCACGCAUGUAGAAAUCAUUGUAUUCUAUAUCGGGGUGAUCAAUUUAAAGACUUAGAUAGUUGUCCAAACUGUGGUGUCAGUAGAUACAAGACAAACAAAGAUUAUCGCGAGGAAGAGAAUCUAGCCUCUGUUUCUACAGGGAGGAAGCGAAAGAAGACCCAAACAAAGACUCAACAAGACAAUUGCUCAAAGCCUAGAUUCAAUGAAAGAAGUGGACUAUUAUGCAUUGAGAAGAAUUCCUGCUUUGGUGAUAUGGUAUAUCCCCGUGGUUGAUCGUUUGAGGUGUUUGUUUGCAAACCCUGAAGACGCUGAACUUAUGACCUGGCAUGCUUCGGAUGAAAGGAAAGAUGAUGGAAAGUUACGACAUCCUGCCGAUGCAAAGCAAUGGAAAGAUUUCGAUAAGAAAUAUCCAGACUUUGCUGACUAUCCACGGAAUGUAAGGUUUGCACUGAGUACUGAUGGAAUGAAUCCAUUUGGCGAAAGGAGCAGCACGCACAGCACAUGACCGGUGAUCCUGACAAUAUACAACCUUCCUUCAUGGUUGUGUCAAAAGAGAAAAUAUCUUUUGCUAACUAUUCUUAUUUCUGGACCUACACAACCUGGAGUUGAUAUGGAUGUAUUUCUAGAGCCCUUAAUGCAAGACAUGCAAACACUAUGGGAAGUAGGUGUGGACAUGAUCGAUGCGUUCCGCAAAGAGACAUUCACACUGAGAGCAAUUAUUAUUGUCACAAUUCAUGAUUACCCUGCUCUCUUCUCAUUAUCAGGCCAGUUCAAGGGAAAGGUUGGUUGUGUAGAGUGCAUAGAUGGAACAUGGCACGUGUCUCUUCCUACAUCUAACAAGAUAGUGUACAUGAGGCACAGAAGAUGGCUACCGACAGGCCAUAAGUACCGCUUACAAAAGAUGAAUAAGUACUUCGACAAUUUUGAUGAAUCAAAAUCUACUGCUCCGUCAGGUUGUAGUAAAGGGCAUAGAGUGUACAAGAUAGUGGAGAAUGUGAAGUUUGUUUUUGGAAAGAAGACCAAAGAUGGGAAACCAAGAAAGGUUGUCAAGGCAAAUGAAGGGGACACAUUCAAGAAGUCCAUUUUCUUCAAGUACUUAUCGUACUGGAAAGACUUGGACGUACGACGUGCGAUCGAUGGUAUGCAUGUUCAGAAAAAUGUGUUUGAAAGCGUAAUUGGAACCUUGUUAGACAUAAAGAGCGAGACAAAGGAAGGUCUCAAUUCACGUUUGGACAUGCAACAUUUAAAGAUCAGAAAAGAACUUCACCCUGUACCCCUAGAGAAUGGGAAGUACCACCUACCGCCAGCAAGCUACAACCUGAACAGAGACGAGAAACAUGCAAUGUGUGUGUGGUUGAAGAAUUUAAAAGUUCCAUCUGGUUUCUGCUCCAACAUAAGGAGUCUUGUGUCAAUGAAAGACCUUACAUUCACCCAUUCAUUGAGCAGCACAUUAAAGAGCUUCGUGAGAAGAAUCCAGGAUGCACAAAUGAUUAGGUACACAAGGAACACAAGCGUCAGUUCACCACAUGGUUAAAGGAUUUGGACAUAACAGAGGAAUCAGAAACCAUUAAGAUGUUAGCAUCUGGACCAUCAAGCCAGGUCACAUCAUGGCAGAGCUAUGACAUUAGUGGCUAUUCAUUUUCCACCAGCUAUAGGGACACCAAGAGCAUGACACAGCGUUCGAUGCGAGGCUAUAGAUGAUGCAACUGGUGAAACAACUACAUACUUUGGGUUCAUUGAUGAUAUAUGGGAGGUAGAAUAUGGUCCACUCCUGCAGAUUCCAGUGUUCCGAUGCCGAUGGGUUCAAGAUAAACAUGUCACUGUGGAUAACUAUGGCUAGAGAGUUGUUGACCUAAGUAAAGUAAGUUAUAAAGAUGAUCCGUGGAUCCUUGCUAACCGUGCCGCACAAGUCUUCUAUGUGGAACAAAUACUUUCUAAGGAUGAAAAGAAAAAUAGCCAAAAGCCAAAGCAUACAGCUAUUCCUGGAAAGCAACAAAUUAUAGGAGUUGAUGGUGUAAUGGAUUUGGAGGAUGUUAACCAAUUCAGCGAGAUGUCUCUUUUUACAAACUUUCAAGAAAACAUAAAAAAUGUUGAGAAAAGUAUCCCACAAUACUCAUUGCCAUGGGUGCGCCACGAUGGACAAAGAAGGACUGUAGCACGCUAGAUUCUAUAAGUUGUUAUUACUCAUAUAACUCAUGUAUCACUUAUCAUUUAUACCUUAUGUUACUAUUUCUUAUUAAGCAACAUGUUUACAUUUUCCAUUUAUUUUAUACCUUAUGCUAUUUUAUAAUAUUUGUACAAUUUAUUACGGAUUAUUUAAUUUUUAAAACAAACAUAAUUAACAAACCAUUAAUCACUAAGUAAAUUAAUUAACAAAGCACUCCUUUUCUAUUUUAUAAUAUUUGUAUACAAUUUGUUACGGAUUAUUUAAUUUUUGAAACAACAUAAUUAACAAACUAACAAAUAAUUAACUAAGAAAUAAAUAACUAACAAACCAACCCUAACUAAGAAACCCUAAUUAACAAAUAACAAAUAAUUAACUAAUCAACAAUUAAUAAAUAAAUAAAUAAUUAACAAGUAAAUAAUUUACAAAUAUUUUUUAAUUAAUUAAAAAACAAAAGACAUGAUAUAUUAGUAGUGGCGGCCCUCAAUGAAAGCCGCCUGUACAAAUAUAUUAGUACAGGCGGACCUGAAGGAGAGCCGCUUGUACUAAUACGUUUGUACAGGCGGCGGUCAUUGAGGGCCGCCUAUACUAAUCCCCUCCUAUAAAAACCCUUAGCGUGGAACGCUAAAAUUUCUAAGUCCGGUGCCGCGAUUUGAUGAAAACGACGCCGUCAGGCUGCCGAAUUCCGCCGCCUCCGCGCCCACGCCGCCUCCGCCGCGAGCCGCGCCGCCGCGCCCUGCCGCGACGACCGUCGAAGGUUUUCCGCCACCGCCGCGCCGCCGUCACCGGAACGAGGACGCCGAGCUCCGCGCUGCUGGCGAGGUGAGCAGGGACGCGAGCCGCCGUGCCACGAGGCGCCGUGUCGUGCCGCGCCGCGUGCCGCCGUGCCGCGAGAUGCGGCGGCGGCAGUCGUGCGCGCGGCGCGCCGCCACCACUCCUAGCGCCGGCAGCAGCCAGGCAGCUGGCUUGCUAGCCCUGUCGGGCCUGGCAGGCCGCCCAGGCUGUCUUUUUUUUAUUUUUUUUGUUAAUUAAUUAAUAAUUAUUUAUAAAUUAUUUAUUUGUUAUUUAUUUAUUUAUUAAUUAAUUAUUGAUUAAUUAAUUAUUUGUUAAGUUAUUUAUUAAUUAGUUUUUAAUUAGGGUUUAGUUAUUAAUUAUUUGUUAAGUUAUUUUUUAAUUAUUUGUUAAGUUAUUUAUUUGUUAUUUAUUUAUUAAUUAAUUAAUUAUUUGUUAAGAAAUUUAUUUGUUAGUUUUUAAUUAGUUAUUUAUUUGUUAAGUUGUUAGUUAGUUAAGUGGGGUUUCUUAAUUAGGGUUAGCUAGUUAAUUAAUUGUUAAUUAUUUAUUUAUUUAAUAAUUUAAUAAUUAUUGAUGAAUUAAUUAUUUGUUAAGUAGGGUUUCCAAUAAGGUUUGUUAAUUAUAGUUUGUAAGUUAAUUGUUUAUAAAUUAUUUGUUUAAUUAGAUGAGUACUCCAUCGAAUGCUGAAGCCCAGAUAGAAACACAGGGAUCCGACACCUCUGGAUCCGACACUUAUAGAAGCCCGAGCGUAUCACCACGUGAAUCCCUCGGAGCUAAGAAGGCUCGUCUAGAGUUGGAACAUGACCCGACAUACGAGCCUCAAGCUGAUCCGGAUGAUGUGGUAUAUAUUGUAGUAGUGUCUAUACAAUAGAAUACAUGUGUAUAUAUGUAUGUACCUAACAAUUGAAUGGACAGGAGGUGUUAUCUCAAGUUGUUGCCGAAAUGGAGGCAGAAGAACAAGAUGUUUAGAAGGACACGGUGCCUCAAACGACUGGGACAUCCUCUGAGCCAAGAAGUAAAACAAAAAAGAGUGAUCGGGCACGAGGAGACAGAGGAAGGAAUAGAUUUCCAGAAGUUGUUUAUCAGAUUAUAGAGUUAAGUCCAAGCGGAGAGCCCUUAGCGCCUCUAGCGGCGCUACCCAAAUUUAGGGCCGCAAUUGGAAUUUUAGUAAAAGAGGAAUUUGAUAUCACUUGGAGUGAUUGGAGUAUGGUGCCACAAGUGAAAAGGACCAUUUGCUGGAAUCGCUUGUGCACUCGAUUUAUUUUUCCCGAUGGUACAAAUGAUUUGGCCAAGGGUUAUGUCAUGAAGCAGUUGGCAAUAUCAUUUCGGGGCUAUAGGCACGAUAUGAACAAAAAGUGGUUGCAGAAGGGACGGGACCCGACGAAGCGGUACCAUAUCACAGAGGCUCAGUUGGCACGUUUUCGUUUGAUGAGAGAAUCAGACGAUUCGAUGGCUAAGAGCAAAGCCGCCUCUGAACUCGCGAAGAGGAACAAGUAUCACCACCACCUUAGCACUGGUGGUUAUAAGACCAAGAUUCCUAAAUGGAGGACAGAAGACGAUGCAAAGAGGAGAGAGGGCCAUUUGUCAUUAACCAAUAUAGUGCGUGAAAGGAGUGCGAAUUGGCUUCGUGCUCAGAAGGCAAACACUGAGAGCGAUGAGAUGUCAUGUCUCGAUGAGAUUAGAGAAGUUGCCGACAAGGUUUUGGAAGCAUCAAACCUGGAAAAGAAAGGUGCCUUCAAGUCACAGAGGGAGAGGGACAUCCUUACCCAUGCUCUAGGUAACCCCGAGCAUCCAGGACGUGUAUGGGGAUUCUCCUCCAGAAUUAGUUGGAAAGAAGGAUUCGGUGAUGUGUGGAAAGGCAUGUAUAAGAAAAGAGACCGAUAUAAGGAGGAAAUGAAAGAUUUUUUUGAGCAGCAGGCUGCAAAAAAGUUUAGGGAUAUGAUGGAAGACUUCUUUACAAAUCAUGACCCUAAAGUGAUGAAGCGGUUGGCAGGAGCAGUGUCUGCUCAAUAAAUGUCCUCACAAGCUCCUUCGCAUAUGCAGCCUGUACCAGCUCAACCCUUGGAGCGUCAGGAGAUGGCCACACAAUCUAUGCCCUUUCCAAGCAGUAUAGCGUCAACAACAAAUAAGGACCAUUAUCCAGUUGAUGAUAUUGAUAGACCUUGGCCUUGCUCCUUGGUCAUAUCCUAUGGCCUUAAGAAUCAGCAUACAAAGCAAGUGGCCACCGGCAAUGCUAUCCCAGGACGUACAUUCCAUACUGUUGACAUGCAAGAUGCAUACUGUAGGGUGGAAGUGUUGACGGUCGAGGCCGGAUAUGAAGACGACUUCAUAGAUAUCCCGACCUCUGAGGGUAUAGAGAAGCUUGGACAAUCAAUCAACAACUUCAUACAAUGGCCGAGACGGUACGUAAGGUUGAUUGAUCCACCAGCGCCACCCUCUCCAAGCAUAGUGCCUCAACCAUCCCAAGAGGCCGAAACAUAUCAACAACCACCAUCACCAAUGCAUGCUCCAGCAUCCCCGUACAUUUAUGAGCCACCACCAUCCUCCCCAAUACAUGAGAUGGCAUUUUUGCAGAAUGAGCCCGAGGUGCCAGCCAAGGAGAACAUGUCUGAGCAGCAGACUCUGCCAUCCAAGGAGAAUAAGCAAACUCCCCCACCACCUCCAAAGGAGAAGGAGGAUGAGCAGACUCCCCCACCACCUCCAAAGCAGAAGGAAGAUGACCAAACUCCCCCAGCAGCACCGGCCUCUAAGAAGGUGAAGAAAUUUCCAAUUCCAAAAUUGAUUUCUCCCUUUGAGCCAAAAAAGGGGAAAGCAGCAGGCACAGCUCUCUUUCUGAAAGGACUUGGAAAGCAGCGAACGGCAUGGCUUAUUGAGCUCGAACCGUCACAGAAAAAGGAAGGCACCGCCCAGUCAAUAGAAGUCAUGCCCCCAUCAAAGGAAGCCCCAAGUGGCGAUGUACAUGUCAAACAUCCAUCAAGUCAACCAUUGACCCUAAAGGAUAUCAAAAAGCCAACGAUUGAUGAUUAUGUCAAUGUCCCUAGUGACUAUGGGCCCGGAAGGCCUAUGCUCCAAUGGACGCUGCUUGAUAAGAUUCAUUGGCCGAUAAAAAGGUUUCAUGACUGGUACAUGAGAGUAGUGCAUGCUUGCCUCCAUGCAAUCAGAGUUGAUAUACCAGCAGACGUGUUUGCUACUGGUAACGAAAAAAGCAAGGCAUUUGUUACCUUUGAGGACAUGCACUUGUUAUUGAACUAUAGGCGGCUUGACGUCCAACUCAUAACAAUCUGGUGUCUGUGUUGACAGUCCUUAAUGCUCACAUUUAACCAUCAACUAAUUAGGGAAAAGGAUCCAAAUGCAACUAACACCUAGACUUAGGGUUUUAUCUGAUAGAAUUCCACGAGUUUUGGUGUUUGUCUAUUUCUGCAGGGGGUUAUCAGGAAAUACGGAAGAAAGGCCCACACGUCGGGUUUACAUAGGGAUAUUAACUUGACGCGCAAUUAUCUACCAUCUAGAAGAGUCCAGAAGCCAGGGGAGCAAACGGGAGACGUGACAGGGCCGGGCACUGGGCGCCCGCCCUCCCCCCUGGACCAAUCAGGGUGAAGCUCGGGGAUCAUGCUCCACCGACCUAAUACUUCAAGGAAAACCACACGAUCAAUGUCGGUUUGAUCCGACGGACCAGAUUCAUCUGAAAAGAUUAUAUAAGUAAGGUCCCCUGGCCCCUGGAGAUCAUACCUCUUCUACAGAAUCAAAGUUAGGGUUUCAAUUCUUCAUCCAAGUAGUGAGGAUCCCUCUAGUUCUUCUAGUUCUACCUCUAGUUCAUCUAGACCUAGUUCUAGUUCAUCUAGUUCUAGUUCUAGUUCUAGUUCUAGUUAGUUCUAGUUGUAAUCUAGAAAAUUGGGAGAGAGAAGAGGAGAGCGGAGGAGGAGCCGGGUCUGUCGGAUCUUCCUCAACAUUGUACUUUUGCAGCAACUGGUUCGUUCUUCGUCAUUCUCCAGGUUCUUCAAUUCAUAAUUCCUGAGUUCUUUAAUUACUUUUAUUUACAUUCAAGUUAUUUAUUAGAUUCCUGCUUGCAUCAAGUGCUCUAAUCUUUGAAACAUUAGAGUAGUAAUUAAUAGAUUAGAAGUGGUGUUCAGUCUUGCAAUUACCUAGAAUUGCAUCCAAUCCUGCGGAUUGUUGUGGUAGCCUUAGGGUAGUGACAGCCCUAACGGUCGACGUAUUCCACCUCGUUCGGAUCAGUGUUUGUAGGACCGUAGCCGGAGCUUCAUAGCCCCCUUCUCAUCUCUUUCUUUGGUUAGUGUUCUGAUGUCCCGAAAUAGAUAAUCUUGAAGUAAUUCUUGAACCUUAGAUCAACUAGAGAACUCUCAGAAAACUUCCUCUCUUCUCACCAAAAAUAAUUAUAUAGUUAUCCUUGGGCGAUCUUGAAUCUUAAUUAGUACACUCACAUUCCCUAUGGAAAAUCGAUACUCUAGAAUACUCCUGGGUGAAGGCUACAUCGGUAUCCGUGCGCUUGCGGAUUUUUUUCUGUUUGCGUUUAAAAUACCCAACAAGCUUUCUGGCGCCGUUGCCGGGGAACGGUAGCUGUACUAGUUUCGAACCAAGUCGUCCGUGUAUCCUUUUUCUUUUCCUUUUUUACCACACUCACCUUACCAUUUUCACCAUACCACAUGGAUUUCACUCUAAGCAUUAAUGAGCAUGGAAUUUAUUUCAUAGCCACUCCAUUUACUCCAUGGUCAUAUGCAACAUCUUCACAAUCCAUUGGUCUCUCCAACAUCACCACAUUCGAGAUCUCCAACCCCCUCAUCCUUUCUAUUUAUAAAAACUUUAAAAGGGCUGUUGUCGAUGCAUAUGUCUAUAUUAAAUAUUGCAGAUCUCGUUGAGUUGAUCUUGAUAUAGGUCAGCGUUGGAGGGGAAACCACUUCGCCGACAUAAAUUGAUGGUUUCCCAAGGACAAGCUUAGUGUCCUAAAACAAGCACUGAUCAGAUCGUAACAUGAGCUUUUAAUUAUUUGCAACAUUACCUUGUGUAUUGAGCAUAUAAGGAUAAUUGUAAAAAAUUCCUUCGGGUAUUCGUGUCACUAACCUUUCUAUGAUUGGAGCAAGAAGAUCGGAUGAAUGACAAGCACAAGGUAUGUACAACCAAUCAUCAUACAACAUUGAAUUAAAUUCAUCCAAACUUGAAUUUUGCAAAAUUCAAGCUUGGGGGAGUACUUUAUAUAAAAACAUCAUUUGCCAUGUUGCUAUGUUGGUUGUCCCUACCUUUGAGACAUGCUCAAUUUGUUAAAUAGUAAUCACACUACUUCAUCUCCACUUGAGUAGAUCUCUAUAAAAGCCAUCACGCUACCUUUGUUUAUCCUAGUAAGUGUUAGUUUGGAAGUACUGUACAUACUUCUAUUGGUUUUUAAAUUAAGCAUGGUGCUUAGGUUAAAUAGCCUUCCUUAAUCUAAUUAGACAUGGAGUCUAGUUUGGUUAUUGAACUAAAAACUGCUCGUGUAGACAUUGGUAUAUUUUGUUGGACUAACUCCUGUAGGAAAACUUUCAAUAUCGACCAGGGAAGUCCUAACAUAAACUCACAUUGGAGACAAAGAGAGACACACAUGAAGUUUAACAAUUUACACAAGGAAGGCAUAGCUCACAACAGAUGAUCCAUGGAGGGUGCCACAAACACAAUGCACAACCGCUAAGAGAGGAAACCUUCCACAAGGUGAUACUGUACCAUCACUCUUCAAGUAAGGUAACAUCUUAAAGUACUUGACUAUCACUUCUAUAAGCUUCUCCUUGGUUCUGGCGUUCACAUGAAUAAAAGAUACAAACAUGUAUGAUCUACAACUCUAGAUUAACCAACCCAAUCGAUUCAACAUGUUUAGUCCUUCCACCUUUGUGAUUCCACACUCCUAAUCAUAUUAGCUAAAAUGUUGCACACUCAAUCUUUGGAAAAUAUAAACAAAACAUAUAUAUAUAUAUAGAUUAUCUUUCUAAUCUGACAAAUGUUAAAUACUACACUCAUGAUUUUAUUAUCCAUCAACUUUGUCUUGCUCAAUAUACUUGAGGUUAGAGAAGAACAAAUACACUUUUGGUUCUAUUGGUGUUUUCCACCAACAGGGCCCAUGCACUUGAUCUCUGCCUUGUCUCUAUGAGUAGGUACACUUUGAGCAAAAUAUGAAGGACUAUUACAACUCCCAGACUCCACCAAGUGAAGAACCUAGAUAUAUGAGCACAAACACACUGGAGAUACUGAAGACUCAUGUAAACAUUGCCCUGAGAUGCUUGAGGAUGUAACUACUGGAGUAACCCUGUUGUGGAAGUAAUUACUGACCUUCUGCCGGUAAAGAGAGACAAUCUAGGACGCCCCGUCAUCCUGAUCUCCAUCGGCAUGGUGGACUUCUAGAAGCACUCUGCGACUUUGGCUCCAGCGUCAACAUUAUACCCAGGGGAGGCCAUUCCUGAACACCUCGGGAGCUGUCAUCUACGCUAGUGCUGCCAAGAUCAGUUUCUACAUCAAGGGGAAGAAGGAGACGUUUUCCUUCAAGAAACAAGACUACACAAAUCCUAGAGCAAUCCCGACAUGAACCAAGGAAGAGGACCAACAGGAGGAACAAGAACAAUCAAAUGUGUACCGAGUCAGCUAAGAUGGUCACUACAGCUCAAGGAGGUCAAGAUCGUCAACUCAAGUCACCUUUCUUGAUCAAGAAGGACGACUCUGGUGUUCCAAGCAUCGAGUGCACAAUCAACGGAUAUUCUUUUCAGAAGACACUCUACGACACCGGAUCUAACGUCAACAUAAUGGCCGCAGUCACUUAUCAGCUCCUUCAUGGAACCAUGUCCCUACAACCAACUUACAUUCAGCUCCAGAUGAUUUUAAGGUUAUUGACAUGGGAGAAGACAAGUAUGAUCCUCCAUCAUCCUUAGGAGACCGUUCCUCAGCACCGUUAAAGCAAUCAUCUACAUUGGAACCCGAGAAGUCCACAUGCACUUCACCUCUGAGAAGGUACGCCACUAUUUUACUGACCCUAACUAUAGAGUUGAAGACUCUAAGCAGGUCGGGACAAGAAGGAGACGGCGCAACCGCAACCAGAGAAGGCAAAAUCAUCAAGGAUGGAUGGGUAGAUUAUGAUGGAGAAGUUGUAAGGUCUGAAGACAUAUAACUUGAACAGAACUAUCCUGAGGAGACCGUAGCACCGAGUCAGGUGUGGAGAAAGAAGAUAGUUAUACAUGAAGAGCAGGCUCCACCGGAACCACCGACUACGCCAUCCAGCGAAUCCCAGGACGACUGAGAAAAUGGAGAGUCCCGUUCGGAGGACUUAAAAACACCGAACGCCUUGCCAAGAGGUAAACUUGGUAGUUAUCUUUUUCCUUUCAACUAUUUAAAAUAGUUUGCUUAGUUAAUCAGGUUCAUAUCAUCUUGAAAAGAAAAUAAAAAUGUUAAAAAUAGUAAGCCCCAUGUGAGUAUGCUCAUGGCAUAAAACCCAUAAGUACAUCCAUUGUGGUGGCGUAAAAAUGAUAUAAAUACAUUCCUAUCCUAUAAAAAAUAAAAUUAUAAAAAUAAAUUUAUGAUCCUACUAAAGAGAGUAAUAUUUAUUGAAGAGGCUCAACAUGAUAAAGGCUAGAUAUUUAUGCUAACACUUAACUAGUUCCACAAAGCUUUGUUGUCUAUUUGAGCUCCACAGAAUUCAAGGAUCAAAGAAGACUAGCAGACGGAGGACAUCCUAAUCGCUGCCAGGGUGCUGCUGACAUUCAAAUACACCUCCACCACUUGCUAGCUACAUUAGAAGAAACUACAUCAAAAUCCAGCUUGGGGGAGAGCACCCCCAUUUAUCCAGCAAAGUGUUUUACUCACGUUUAUACUUUACUCAAAUAAUGAAAAGAUGCAUAAUCAUAAAAAUCCAAAUAAAGAUUUUGUGCUUAUAUAUAUCUUUGCUUAGUUUGCUAAAUAAAUAAAUAAACAAAGUUUGCUAUGAACCCUCAUGAUAAGCUCUCACAUGGAAAUGAUGAAUAGUUGCUCUGCCAUGACUAGUUCUCAAAAUUGAAAACUCUCUCAAGUUUAGGCAUGACUGGUAUUAAUUAAGAUUUGCUCUAAACCUGAAAUUGUGGGAAGAGUACUUGAUCUAAAGUCUAAGUCGUUAAUGGAUAUGAUAUGAGAAGGUUGAGCGGCUAUUUAUCUAUUCCUAGAGAUGCUAGAAUUCUGGAGAAUUUUAUCUUUGAAAAUCUUUAAAAUGUUGCAUGAUGAGUUCCUGUAUGAUGAGAGUUUAAAUUCCUACCACAGCCAUAUAUACAUGCUUGUUAGACUAUGAACCACACAUUUACUUUUUACUGCUUAUGAGCAUUGAGUGUGGUCAAGCUGUGUAGACCCUUAGGAGCUUGUCAUGUGGUUAAAUCAAGAUUCACUUGCACGUUCACUCACACAUGCUACUUCUACUCCAGAAGUACCAUCCACAUAUAUCCAUCCAUUUCCAUGUACAGAACCACCCAAAAAUAUUCUACUCCUAAUCCGGGAGAGAAUAGCCAAAAACAUUCUCCUAUUUCUGUUUUUCCCUAUGAAAAAAAUACUCAAGUUAUCUUGGUUACUACCACUUGCUAUAUUAUUUUAGGAGAUGAGUGCUCUAAAAAAAGAAAGAAAGAAAAAAAAGAAAGAAUGCGAGGAAAUAAAAAGGGGCAACUGCCCGGAACCUCGAAAGAAAGAAAAAGUGAGACGAGAGGUAAAAAUGGACAAGUGUCCGACAGUAGAAUUAGGGGUACAAGAUACCCACGUGAGAGAAAAAGAAAAUAUAGAGCAUCUCAUUCUCCUCAAAAAGUUUCAAAAGAGCAAGAAAGGUAUGUACCGCCUCAAAAGAGCAAAAGUAGGAUUAUACUUUCACCAUUGUUAUUACCAUCAUCACCAUACAUCAUUCAUUCGCCACACAUGCACAUCUUGAUUUGACUUAUUGACUUGUUCUUCUGGAUCCAUGGUUUGACUAUGCAAUAAAUGUCUUGUAAGUAUGUAUUAGCUGUCUCCCACCUAUGAGCUCUAGAUAUCAAAACCUUAUUAGAGUAGGGUGAGAGAGAAGGCAAUGUCACUAUGGCUCAUACCAAAAAUACCACAUACUUUGAGAGAAGGCAUACACCUUUACUGCCUUGGUAAGGAUCCAGAAAUACCACAAAAGAGAGACUAGAGAGUGUCAUACAAGGAAUCUCUGAGUUUUAUUUGAAAAUCUGCAAAAACUCCAGAGCUAUAGUUAAUCGAAGAACAAGAGACAUGGUGCUUGACUAGACCGUUCUAUCUUUUAACUGCUCAAGAUAUAAGUGACAGUUGCAAGCCCCAUAGUGAAAGGUAAAAUGAGUAAGUUUUAAAUCUUAACAGUUUACCCUAACAUAGAGAUGAGAUCCUGUUUGAACGCAUGUGUAUCUUUAAGGCAUGAAACCACUGCAGAAACUCUUGAGUUCAUCUUUGCCCAGGGAGGAGCAAAGGUUAAGCUUGGGGGAGCUUGUUGACGGUCCUUAAUGCUCACAUUUAACCAUCAACUAAUCAGGGAAAAGGAUCCAAAUGCAACUAACACCUAGACUUAGGGUUUUAUCUAACAGAAUUCCACGAGUUUUGGUGUUUGUCUAUUUCUGCAGGGGGUUAUCAGGAAAUACGGAAGAAAGGCCCACACGUCAGGUUUACAUAGGGAUAUUAACUUGACGCGCAAUUAUCUACCAUCUAGAAGAGUCCAGAAGCCAUGGGAGCAAACGGGAGAUGUGACGGACAGUUCCCUCUACUUUCAUGAUGAGUGUCCAACAACAUUUUUUGUAUUUCUGAAAUGAUAUGUAGUUUUGGAUGUGAAUUGCACAUUAUAAGGUCAUUUUCUGGUGCAGACUCCAUAAAUGGUUUACCUGAAAACUAUCGUAUGAGUAUUCUGUUGCCAUAUGCUAGAAAUUCGGCUCUAGAAGGUAUGCUCCCUGAUUGAUUUUCCUGCUAGCAAUUUAUAUGAAUAGUUACACAUAGUUCUCUUUCUGGUGAACUGAACCGAGCACAAUUUUUUUUAUGUGUAAUUUCCAGGGAGACCAAAAAUGAUAUAUUCCAUGCCAUGGGAGCCGUGUGUGCAGCGGUGCUGUUCAUAGUUAUUAUUGAGACCACUUUUGUUCAGCCUGUGAUCCGCAUCGAAAGAUUUGUAUUAUAUGAAGAGCGAGCUGCUGGAAUGUACUCAACAUUUCCUUUUGCAUUUUCUCCGGUAAUUCAUGUUAGAGUGUUCACUACUACAGAAUGAGGCAUUGUUCGAUGCCCAAAAUGGCCAAAAACCUCGGUCUUUUUGCGGCCCGGGGUUAAAGACCCCUUUAGCACCGGUUCGUAACACGAACCGGUUCUAAAGGGUCCUGCCCAACGGCUACGGACAGGUGUUGUCGGGGCAGGGACCCUUUACCACAGGUUCGUGUUACAAACCGGUGCUAAAGGGUCCCCUUUAGCACCGGCCAGCGCCACGGGCCGAGGCAAACCCUUUAGCACCGGUUUGUGUUACAAACCGGUGCUAAAGGGUCACUCUUUAGCACCGGUUUUUGCCCUGAACCGGUGCUAAUGGUCCGGUUUAUAGGUCAGAUCCUCUCUGCCCAUUUGAAACCGAGAGCACCAUUCACCAUUGUUGUUCUUGGAGCUUCUUCUUCCUUGUUCUUCAUUUGUUCUUCAUCUCCGACGCCCAUCGUUAAUCUUCUUUGACUCCGUCAUCGUUUCUUCAUGUUUGGAGGUGACUAACUUUUGUCUUUCUUGUCUUUUUCAUGUUGUUUUUGGCUUGUGAUGUUCCCAAUAUUUUUAGCUCAAAUCCACUUUGUUAUUUUGAAUCAUUCAAAUGAAUUAGUAUCCAUAUAUAUAUAUAUCAUAUUUUAUGGUUGACCUAGUAUUAAUGUAGUUUGCAAGAAUGAAUUAUAGUAUCUUUUUAUGAUCUUAGAAAGUAGGAUAGUUCAAAUUAAUUGGUUUGUUAAUAUCACUUGAUUUAUUUUUAUUACUACAUAUUGUCCAUUGUAUCAUACAUGUAUAGUAGUAAAUGUGGAAUUUAUAAUUGUUUAAAAAAUGAGUAUGGAUAGUAGAUGGCAACCGUGACCAGAUCUUCGUUCUCUCAACGGGUUCAAAAGCGAUACCGGCCGGAACUCCCUCUCAUUACUUGUGGCAAGUGUGGGCAGAAGAUUGUGAUGGAGUACAAAGUGUCGAAAGAGGGUGUAAACAAGGGUCAUAUAUUCUACAAGUGUCUGGAUCGUAAUGUGACUUAUUUCUAGACAUUUGCUUAUAUAUGUGCAUAUUUUUUUAAAUGAUAUUAAUUAAACUUUUGAUUCUCUCUUUUGAUUUCAGUGGGACGGUACCGGCGGAUGUACAGGUUGGUACUGGGAGGAAGAAUACAUUGAACACAUUAAGAAAUCUUUUGCAUAGGUGGUUGAGGCUGAAGGUGGUGAGGCACUGAGCCGACGAAAGGAGUUCAAUGAUGUUGAUCAAGCGAAUGAUCUAUCUAUUAUAGUUGGGAUCGGAUGCGAACUAAUUAUGUUGCUUAAGUGCAUUUUAGUUUUGGUUUUUUUAGUGCUAGUUGCGAUUGUAUUUGUUGUAGCCAAGCUUUCCUGAAUUAAUCAACUAUGUAUCUUAGACGUGUUGUGCAAUAAGAUGGGAAACUAUAUGUGUGCAUGGUUUUCAUAAUAUAUAUGUUAUAUUUAAUGCAGAUGGUAACACGUAAUUGGAUGUAUAAUGCCGAUCGGCGCUCCGAAGAGUUCAUUAAUGGCGUGCACUAUUUCUUAAGUGUGGCCGAGACAAAUAAGAGGGACAGUUUCAUGUGCCGUCCAUGUGCCGUGUGCAAGAAUUUGACGGAAUAUUCUAACUCAAGAACUCUUCAUUCGCACUUAUUAAAGUCUGGUUUCGUACCAAACUAUAUUUGUUGCACCAAACAUGGAGAAAGCGGGAUUAUAAUGGAUGAAGGUGAAGAAGAAGAAGAAGAAUUAGACCAUGCCAAUAUUAUUGCUCAGUACGGUGGCUUCAAUGAUGUUGCAAUUGAGGGAGAUAAUGAAGAAGAGGUAGCGGUAGAAGAUGAUCGGGGAGAUGAUGCUUUUGGUGAUACCAUCCGUGAUGCACAAAGAGAAUGUGAAAGUGAUAAAGAGAAAGCCAAGUUCGAGCGCAUGCUAGAGGACCACAGGAAAUCGCUAUAUCCCACCGCUGAAGACGGGCAAAAAAAGCUGGGUACCACACUGGAAUUGCUGCAAUGGAAGGCAAAGAAUGGUACAUCUGAUAAGGCAUUUGGGCAGUUAUUGAAGAUCAUAAAAAAGAUGCUUCCGAAAGGCAACGAAUUGCCCACCACUACGUAUGAAGCAAAACAGGUUGUCUGCCCUUUAGGAUUAGAAAUCCAGAAGAUACACACAUGUCCUAAUGACUAUAUCCUCUACCGUGGGUAGGAAUACGAGAAUUUGGAUGCAUGUCCAGUAUGUAAGGCAUCACGGCAUAAGAUUAUACGAGAUGAUCCUCGCAAUGUUGAGGGUGAAGAACAUCAUAGGAAGAAAAUUGGUGCCAAGGUUAUGUGGUAUGCUCCUAUAAUACCACGAUUAAAACGUCUGUUCAGAAAUAAGGACAAUGCAAAGUUGUUGCGGUGGCAUAAAGAAGACCGUAAGAUAGACAUUAUGCUGAGACACCCUGCCGAUGGAUCCAGUGGAGAGCGAUAGAUAGAGAAUUCCUAGAUUUUGCAGACGAUGCUAGAAACUUGCGGUUCGCCUUAAGUACAGAUGGUAUGAAUCCUUUCGGUGAGCAGAGCAGUAGUCACAACCUUCCUCCAUGGCUAUGCAUGAAGCAGAAGUUUAUUAUGAUGUCGGUGCUUAUCCAAGGACCUAAGCAACUUGGCAAUGACAUAGAUGUCUACCUAAGGCCAUUAGUUGAGGAACUUCAACUUUUAUGGAGCAAAACAGGAGUUCGUGUGUGGGAUGAGUACAAACAAGAGCACUUUGACCUGCGAGCAUUGCUGUUUGUAACAAUCAGUGAUUGGCCAGCUCUGAGUGAUCUUUCAGGCCAGUCAAACAAGGGAUAUAAUGCAUGCACACAUUGUUAUGAAGACCUUGACUGUGUAUUUUUGAAAAAAUGUCGAAAGGUCGUGUACCUUGGCCACCGUCGGUUUCUUCCUGUGUACCAUCCAGUACGAAAGAAAGGCAAGCAUUUUAAAGGCAAAGGCAGACCACCGGACCAAACCUCUCAAUCGAACAGGGAUGAUGUACUCGAAAUGGUCAAGGAUAUAAAAGUGGUAUUUGGAAAGGGACGAGGCAGCGAACCUAUUCACAAGGAUGCUAAGGGACACGUACCCAUGUGGAAGAAGAAAUCCAUAUUUUGGGAGCUACCUUACUGGAAUGUCCUAGAGGUCCGCAACGCGAUCGACGUGAUGCAUCUAACAAAGAAUCUUUGUGUGAACUUGCUCAGAUUCAUGGGUGUCUUCGGGAAGUCUAAGGAUUCACUUGAAGCACGACAAGACUUGCAGCGCAUGAAAGAACGAGACAACCUACAUCCAGAAAAGACAAAUGAUGGACGUUAUUACUUAAGCCCUGCUAGCUACACUCUGAGCAAAGAAGAGAAGGAAAGCAUGUUUGAAUGUCUUAGCAGCAUCAAGGUCCCAUCUGGAUUCCCCUCCAAUAUCAAGGGAAUAAUUAAUGUGCCAGAGAAGAAAUUCCUGAACUUGAAGUCCCAUGACUGUCACGUUCUAAUGACGCAAUUGCUGCCGGUGGUUUUAAGAGGAAUUUUACCUCCACACGUACGUCUAGCCACCGUAAAGCUAUGUGCAUUCCUCAAUGCAAUUUCUCAGAAGGCAAUCAAUCCAGAGCAACUAGCUACUCUACAGAAUGAUGUCGUUCAAUGUCUCAUUAGCUUUGAGUUGGUGUUCCCUCCAUCCUUCUUCGAUAUCAUGACACACCUCCUAGUUCAUCUGAUCAAAGAGAUUCGUAUUCUCGGUCUUGUGUUCCUACACAACAUGUUCCACUUCAAGAGAUUCAUGGGUGUCCUAAAGAAAUAUGUCCAUAGUCAUUCUCGGCUAGAAGGAAGCAUUGCCAAGGGCUACGGAACAGAGGAGGUCAUAGAGUUCUGUGUUGACUUUAUUCCAGACCUUGACCCAAUUGACAUUCCUGAAUCUCGACACGAGGGUAGACUCAGCGGAAAGGGAACACUUGGGAAGAAAAUAUAUAUUGGAAUGGGAGACGAUUACUUCAAUAAAGCACACUACACAGUUCUCCAGAACUCCUCAUUGGUGGAACCAUAUGUUGAGGUACACAAAGAUUUCCUACGGUCCCAGUGGCCCGGGAAGAAUGAAGCUUGGAUAAUACGUCAGCACAUGGAAACUUUUGGCGAUGAAAACAUUGAUGAGCAGCUUUAUUUGUUGGCCAGGCAACCAUCAUGGCAUGUCCUCACGUACAAAGGGUACGAGAUAAAUGGUAACACAUUAUACAUAGUUGGCCAAGAUAAAAGGAGCACCAACCAAAAUAGUGGUGUACGCGUGGAUGCCACGGAUCCAAAUGGGAACAGACAAACAUAUUAUGGAUGCAUAGAAGACAUAUGGGAACUAGUCUAUGCAGCUAAUUUUAAAGUUCCUUUGUUUCGGUGCCAAUGGGUGAAGAUGACCGGAGGUGGGGUAACAGUCGACAAGGAGUAUGGGAUGACAACCGUGGACCUUAACAAUAGUGGGUUCAAAGAUGAACCAUUCGUCCUUGCUGCAGACGUGAGUCAGGUGUUCUAUGUCAAAGAUAUGUCUACGAAACCAAAGAGAGGAAAAAAUGAUGACCACUCAAUCAUCAAUGAGCCAAAGCGCCACAUUGUCCUUUCUGGGAAAAGAAACAUUGUCGGAAUUGAGGACAAGUCAUACAUGUCAGGUGAUUACGAAAGGGAUGAUCGAAUUCCGCCCUUCAUAGUCAACAAAGACCCAAGCAUUCUGUUAAACAUUGAGGAUACUCCAUGGUUACGGCAGGAUCAUAACCAGGGGUCAUACGUCAAGAAGAAGUCCACUGUUGUGUCGGCUUAACAUAAAGUCAUGUAUGCAUUGUAACAAACUUUGUAUGAAACUAUAUUUGAGAAUUGUGAAUUUUGAUGAGUGUAACAAACUAGGGUUCGGUCAAAGGGUGUUUUUGUAAAAGCCAAUGCUUUGACAUUGGUCAAACUUGAUUAAAUGGCCCAUUUGAUGACUUCAAAUGAAAUAAUUUUGAAUAUAAAGUUGUUAGAGAUCAUCAAGAUCUACAUUUUAUAUAUUGUCCAUUUUUCCAUUUGGAUAUUUUUGAGCCAAUCCUAAGCACAUUUCUUUAAAAUCCAAGACAAGUUUUGGUCAAACUUGGUCAAAUGACAAACUAAAUUACUUAAAAUGAAAAGCUUUUGAAUACCAAGUUGUUAGAUAUCAUCAAGAUCUAAACUUUUUAUAUAGAGAACUUUUCCAUUUGAGAAAGUUUAAGUUAACAAUACCCACCAAAUCUUGAAUCUCACACAAACUAUAUGAAACUAUAUGUGUCAAUUGUGGAUUUUCAACUACAUCUUCCCAAACCUUUCUCAAAUGCAAAAAUGGUCUAUAUACGAAAUGUAUAUUUUGAUGAGUGGAACAAUAUUGGUAAUCAUGACUUUUCCAUUCGAGACCAUCUAGGGUUCCGAAACCGCUGCGUGGCUAUGAAUUCUCUGAAAAUUCAAAAUUCAGUGGUUCAAACUUUUCCAAAUGGAAAGUUGACCAUUAGACAAAAUGUAGAACUUGAUGAGUGUAACAAACUUUGUAUUAAUGACUUUUCCAUUUGGGACCAUCUAGGGUUCGGUCAAAGGGUUGUUUUGUAAAAACCAAUACUUUGACUUUGGUCAAACUUGAUCAAAUGGCCCAUUUGAUGACUUCAAAUGAAAUAAUUUUGAAUAUAAAGUUGUUAGAGAUCAUCAAGAUCUACAUUUUAUAUAUUGUCCAUUUUUCGAUUUGGAUAUUUUUGAGCCAAUCCUAAGCACAUUUCUUUAAAAUCCAAUACGAGUUUUGGUCAGACUUUGUCAAAUGACAAAGUAAAUUACUUAAAAUGAAAAACUUUUGAAUACCAAGUUGUUAGAUAUUAUCAAGACCCAAACUUUUUAUAUACACAACUUUUUAUAUAUUUUUAUAUGAUAAAUAGAUUUUUUAUUUGAUGAAAACUAUACCCUACUAGCAUUCCGAGUUAUAAAUAACAAAAAUAAAAAGUUUAACGUCAAUAUGAUGUGAAAAUAGAUUUCCAGUUGAUUGGAUAUAGUUUUUGUAAAUUUAUUGGAAUAAUAUAUUUUUGCAUUAACAAAAUACUAAACAUUUCUUACAAAAUUAUUGCAAAUUAUAAAAAUACAGCAAGAUAUUUAAGGUUAAAAAUGUUCAUGUGUACAUUAAAAAAAAUUAUAAUAUAUGUCACUGUUUAAAAAAUAUUAUAUAAAAUAUUUAAUUUACUAUAAAAUUUAUAAUAUAAACUGUAUAUAUAAACACAUUAAAAACCCUAAACUAAAAAACAGGGCCUUUAGAACCGGCCCAUAGGGGGAACCGGUGCUAAAGGGCCUUGAAAAUUUCAGGAGCCCGCCCUAGCGCGCGCAGGACCCUUUAGCACCGGCUCGUAACACGAACCGGUUCUAAAGGGUCACCCUUUAACACCGGCUCGUGUUACCAGCCGGUGUUAAAGACCCUUUAGCACCGGUUCAGCCACGGACCGGUGCUAAAGGGUCCGCUCCUAUAUAUGUUCGCAGGAGCCCUGGAUCGGGCAGUUCAUCUUCGUCUUCGUCGAGCAGCCCUCGUCUCCAGCGCCACCGGCCGUUCAUCUACCCGUGACCUCGUCUCCAGCGCCGCCGUGCCGCCGCCGCCGCGACGACCAUCUCCACCAGCGCCGCUGCUGACCACACCACCGAUCUGGCCAUCUCUCUACGUACUCCGGCCAUCUCUCUACGUACUCCGGCCAUCUCUCUAUACGUACUAGACCACACUGAAUUGUUAUGAAUUAUAAUAUAUUAAGUAUACUACAAAAAUGAAUGAAUGUUAUAUAUAUAUAUAAUAAAUGUAUAUUAUGAAUUGUAGUGUUUUAAAUUGUAUAUAUAUUUAAGUAUAUAUAUAUAUAUAAAAUAAUGCAUGCUAGUAUAUUAUGAAUUGUAGUGUUUUGAAUUGUUAUGAAUUGUAUAUAUAUUUAAGUAUAUAUGUACACUAAAAAAUAAUGCAUGGUAGUAUAUUACUCGAUCUCUAGUAUUACUUUUUAGUAUAUUAUACUAGUAUAUUAUGAAUUGUAGUGUUUUGUAUAUAUUAUUCUAGUAUAUUUGAAUUGUAGUAUAUUAUUCUAGUAUAUAUAUAUUAUUCUAGUAUUACUUUUUAGUGUAUUAUUCUAGUUUAUUACUUGGCUUAAUAUAUUCUAGUAGUGUUUACCCACCAAAUUUAUUCUAGUAGUGUUUUGUAUAUAUUAUUGUUUUGUACUAUAUUAUUCUAGUAUUGUUUUUUAGUUUAUUAUUCUAGUGUAUUACUUGGCUUAAAAGAUGUACUAUUUUUAGAGCACUCUAACACUUUCAUUUGUAUUAGUACUAGUAGUAGUAUAUAAGUCUCUAAUAUAUAUUCUAGUAGUGUUUACCCACCAAAUUUAUUCUAGUAGGGUUCUGUAGUAUAUUAUUCUAGUGUAUUUCUUAUCUUAUAUAUAAUAUAUAUAUGUGUGGUUGCAGACAUAGAAAUGGCUGACCGUCCUCAUGAUGAUCCUAAUUAUAUGGAAUAUGCCAUUCAAAAUAUGAUCGACGACGGUAGUCAGUACUUUAUUGAUUACAACGAGAUCAUGCAAGGCAAUCCGACUGAGCAACAAGAGGGCAUAGCGCUUGAGCAACAACUUGUCGUACAACAAGAAGAAAAUACUGGCGAGGUAUGUAAAUGUAAACAUAUAUAAUUAAUGCAUCUCUUACAUUAGGUUUUAGACUUACUUGGUUAUUAAUUUAGUAUUUUUGUUUCUAUAUCUAUGUGUAGCCUUCUGGAUCGACCUCUACGGGGAGAAGCGUACUCCACGAGGGCCAAAGAAGCCGUUGGAGGGCCGCUAUGUAAUCUCUGAGUUUGAGAUAGCUACAGGCAGACCACUUGGUGAGCAUGCAAAUAAAUAUGUUAGUCACUCUGGAUAUCUUGUUAGAGAUCAAAUACCGAUUAGUGCUCGUGAAUGGAGAGAGAAGCAAGGUGCUCCUGAGAUCAGUUUUGUCUCUGAUCGUGACAAGGAGUUAGUUUGGAAAGCCGUCCCAGACAUUUUCACCUUCGACACCAACGACGAAGAGUUGAAGGUGCGAAUUUAUGACUGGACUAUGAAGAAGAUGGUAGUUGUUGAUAUUUGGUAACGCAAUAAGGAAAUGAUCCGCAAACGCACGGAUAUCGGUGAGCAUUUCACCCGGGAGGUUAUCCAUAGUUAUCGUAUUUAUAUUUUUACCACUGGGAGAAAGGGUGCAUCUGACUAACCAAAUCUAUUGCUACUAUCCCUUUGGGCUACAAAGAAUGUCUCUCGAUGUGAGUGAUGUAUAGAGAAGACUGCAACCUUAGUCUCGUUCUAACCUUGGUAAGGAUGAUCUACUGUUCUAUUGGGGAGGCUCACGGAAUCUAGACAACACAAAGGAUGUUCGACCCGCACCUAUAAGCCUACCCGUCCUGCUAACAAGAUUUGAUCUGCAAAGGUAACUCGGAAUUGUCACGUUCCUCGCUACUACCACGGUCCAGCUAGUCAGGGGAUAUCUAUGAGUACCCUAGCCUAAACACCACGUUUACGCUAACAAGUGAUUACUCUAAUACUCAACCGGAAGAGGAUUAAAGUAAACUCAUAAACCAAAGAACAAUAAAACAAGAACUUACUAGUAUUAGAAGUUGAAUUACUGAAGAAUCUUAGAAGCAAGCCUCGGGUUAGGAGACUUGAUCCCGUAGGUACAACUCGGACUAGACACCGACAGGCCGGCCUUCCUCCGAUCCACACCUCCACUCUAUCUCUCUCAAUCUAGUAGAAACUAGAAGAUCUAUUUCUACUUUACAUUGGUUGCUAAGCCUAAAAAGAAAUAUUAUUUAGAGAAGAGGUUUUCCUUCGAGGGCACCCAUCAAUCUCUAUGAUAAUUUCUUGUCUCCUCCAGGGGCCAGAGGGGGUCUCCUUAUAUAGUCCUCCCCUUCUAUGCGUUUUUGGGUCGAUAGGCGAGGUGGUACUAUGUUAUUCUGGAUCCAAUAGGUCGGUGGAACGUCGUGUGCGAAGAGAGUCCGGAACGGGGUCCAGAGGUGGGCGGGCGCCCAGGUCCUUAGGGCGGGCGCCCUGGGCCUGGCCCCUUUCGGGCUCCGCUUCCUUCCCGUGGCUUCUGGAGUCUUCUAGAUGGUAGAAAAUUGCGCGGUGGGUUGAUAUCUCUAUGUAAUCCCGACAUGUGGGCCUUUCUUCCUUAUUUCCUGAUAACCCCCUGCAGAAAUAGACAAACACCAAAACUCGUGGAAUUCUGUCAGAUAAAACCCUAAGUCUAGAUGUUGAUUUCAUUUGGAUCCUUUUCUUUGUUUAUUUGAUAAUUAAAUUUGAUACUUAAGGACCGUCAACAAACUCCCCCAAGCUUACCUCUUGCUCGUCCCUGAGCAAGGAUGAACUCAAGAGUUUCUGCAGUGGUUUUAUUUCUUAGAAGUACACACGCAUUUAUGCAAGAUCUCAUCUCUGAGUUAGAAUAAACUGUUAAGACUUAAAACUUACUUACUUUACCUACACCAUAGGACUUGUAACCGUCACUUCUGUCUUGAGUGGUUAAAAGAUAGAACAGUCUAGCCAAGUGCCAUGUCUCUUAUUCUUGAUCAGCUAUAGCUCUGGGGUUUUUGCAGAUUUUCAAAUAAAACUCAGAAAUUCCUUGUAUGAUUCUCUCAGGUCUCUCUUUUGUGGUAUUUUUGGAUCCUUACCAAGGCAGUGAUGGUAUAUGCCUUCUCUCAAGAUAUGUAGUAUUUGUGGUAUGAAGCAUAGUGACAUUGUCUUCUCUCUCACCCUACUCUAAUAAGGCUUUAAUAUCUGGAGCUCAUAGGUGGGAGAUAAAGUAUACAUACUUACAAGACAUUUAUUGCAUAGUCAAACCAUGGAUCCAAAGAAACAAAUCAAUAAGCCAAAUCAAGAUGUGCAUGUGUGGCGAAUGAAUGGUGUAUGGUGAUGAUGGUGAUAACAAUGGUGAAAGUCUAAUUCUACUUUUGCUCUUUUGAGGGGAUACAUACCUUUCUUGCACUUUGAAGCUUUUUGAGGAUAAUGAGAUGCUCUAUAUUUUCUUUUUUUUCCUCUCAGGUGGGUAUCUUGUACCCCUAAUUCUACUGUCGGACACUUGUCCAUUUUUACCUUUCGUCUCACUUUUUUUCUUUUUCUUCGAGGUUCCGGGCACUUGCCCCUUUUUAUUUCCUCGUAUUCAUUUUUUUUUCUCUCUCUCUCUCUCUUUUUUUUAGAGCACUCAUCUCCUGAAAUAAUGUAGCAAGUGGUAGUAACCAAAAUAACUGAAGCAUUUAUUACACAGGGAAUAACAAGGAUAGGAAAAUGUUUUUGGCUAUUCUCUCCCGGAUUAGGAGUAGAAUACUUUUGGGUGGUUUUGGAGAUGGAAAUGAAUGGAUAGUACUUCCGGAGUAGAAGUAGCAUGUAUGAGUGAACGUGCAAGUGAAUCUUGAUUUAACCACAUGACAAGCUCCUAAGGGUCUACACAGCUUGACCACACUCAAUGCUCAUAAGCAGUAAAAAGUAAAUAUGUGGCUCAAGGUCUAGCAAGCAUGUAUAUAUGGAUGUGGUAGGAAUUUAAACUCUCAUCAUAGAGGAACUCAUCAUGCAACAUUUUAAAGAUUUUCAAAGAUAAAAUUCUCCAGAAUUCUAGCAUCUCUAGGAACAGAUAAACAGCAGCUCAACCUUCCCAUAUCGUAUCCGUUAACAACUUGGACUUCAGAUCAAGUUUUCAUCCCACAAGUUAUCGCUAGAGCAAGCCUUAAAUUAUAACAGUUAUAUCUAAACUUGAGAGAGAACUUCAAAUUUGCAAAUUAGGCAGAGCAACUAUUCAUCAUAUCCAUGCUUAAGUUUUAUUAGAUACAGAUUAGCAUAGCCACUUUAUUUAUUUAUUAAACACACUAAGCAAAAUAUAUAUAAGCAUAAAAUCUUUAUUUGGUUUUUCAUAGUUAUGUGUAUUUAUAUUCUAAUAUAGUAUAAGUAUAAAGAUAGAUAGAUAGAAAUACCUAUCGAGAUAAAUGGGGGUGCUCUCCCCCAAGCUGAAUUUUGACGUAAUUUCUCUUGAUGUAGCUAGCAGGUGGUAGAGGUGUUUUUGAAAGUCAGCAGCAUUCUGACAGCGAUUAGAAUGUCCUCCGUCUGCUAGUCUUCUUGAUUCUUAAAUUCUGUGGAGCUCAAAUAGACAACAAAGCUUGUGGAACUGAUUAAGUGUUAGCAUAAAUAUCUAGCCUUUAUCAUCUUGAGACUCCUUAAUAAUUAUUACUCCCUGUUUUUUAUAUUUUCAUUUUAUAAAGCAGAAAAAUAUUUAUUUUAUUUUUAUGCCACCACAGUGAAUGUACUUAUGGGUUUUAUGCCACUCGUAUACUCACAUGGGGCUUACUGUUUUUCACAUUUUUAUUUUCUUUUAUUUUUAAGAUAGUAUGAAUAUGAUUAACUAAGUAAACUAUUUAAAAUAAUUGAAAGGGAAAGGAUAACUACCAAGUUUACCUCUUGGCAAGGCGUUCGGUAUUUUUAAGUCCUCCGAACGGGACUCUCCGUUUUCUUAGUCGUCCUGGGAUUUGCUGGGUGGCGUAGUCGGUGGUUCCGGCGGCGCCUCCUCUUCGUGUAUAACUAUCUUCUCUUUCCACACCUGACUCGGUGCUACGGUCUCCUCAGGACAGUUCUGUUCAAGUUGUAUGUCUUCAGUCCUUAUCACUUCUCCUUCGUAGUCUACCCAUCCGUCCGAUUUGCCUCCUCUGGUUGCGGUUUGUCUUCUUCUUGUCCUGACCUGCUUAGAAUCUUCAACUAUAUAGUUAGAAUCAUUAAAGUAGUGGCGUACCUUCUCAGAGGGGAAGUGCAUGUGGACUUCUCCGGUUCCAAUAUAGAUAAUGGCUUUGAUAGUGCUGAGGAACGGUCUUCCAAGGAUGGUGGAUGGAUCAUACUCGUCUUCUCCCAUGUCAAUGACCUGAAAGUUGUUUGAAGCUGAAUGUAUCUUGGUUGUAGGGGCAUGGUUCUAUGCAGGAGCUGAUAAGUGACUGCGGCCAUUAUGUUGUCGUCAGAUCCGGUGUCGUAGAGUGUCUUCUAAAAAGAGUAUCCAUUGUUUGUGCAUUCGAUUCUUGGAACACCAGGGUCAUCCUUCUUGAUCAAGAAAGGUGACUUGAGUCGACGAUCUUGACCUCCUUGAGCUGCAGUGACCAUCUUAGCUGACUCGGUCCACAUUUGCUUGUUCCUGUUCCUCCUGUUGGUCCUCUUCCUUGGUUUAUGUCGGGAUUGCUCUGAAGCUUGUGUAGUCUUGUUCUUGAAGGAAAGUCUCCUUCUUCCCCUUGAUGUAGAGACUGAUCUUGGCAGCAUUAGCGUAGAUGACAGCUCUGGUGUUUAGGAAUGGCCUCCCUAAGAUGAUGGGUGCCCUCUCCUAAGUACCAAUCUCUAUCACCACGAAGUUUGCUGGAGCGUACAAGGUACCAACUCGGACACAGAGGUUCUUCAAUAUUUCCUUUGGGAAACUAAGUGUCUGAUCUCCAUUGUGUUUGUGCUCGUAGAUCCCGGUUCUUUACUUGAUGGAAUCUGGUAGUUGUAAAACGCCUUCAUGUUUCUCAAAAUGUGUCCUGCUCAUAGAGACAAGGCAGAGAUCAAGUGCAUGGGCUCUGUUGGUGGAAAACACCAACAGAACCAAAAGUGUAUUUGUUCUUCUCUAACCUUAAGCAUAGUGAGUAAGACAAAGUUGAUGGAUCAUGAGUGUAGCAUUUAAAACAUGUGUUAGAUCAGAUGGCUCAACCUAAUGGAAAGAUAAUCUAUCUAUUUUUAUGUUUUGUUUAUAUCUUCCAAAGACUGAAUGUGUAAUACUUUAGCUUAUAUGAUUAGGAGUGUGGGAUCACGAAGGUAGUACUAAGAACAAAGAUUAAAGGACUAAACAUGUUGAAUUAAUUGGGUUGAUUAAUUUGGAGCUACAAAUCAUACAUGUUUGUCUCUUUAUUUUAUGUGAACGCUAGAACCAAGGAGAAGCUUAU
rnacentral:lncRNA from 1 species